AUUGAACGCUGGCGGCAGGCCUUACACAUGCAAGUCGAACGGUAACAGGCAGCAGCUUGCUGACUCGCUGCCAAGUGGCGGACGGUUGAGCAAUGUCUGGGCAACCGUCUGAUGGAGGGAGACAACUACUGAACACGGUCGCCAAUCCCGCAUAACGUCGCAAGGCCAAACCGGAGGGCCUUAGGGCCUUUUACCAUCCGAUGUGACAAGAUGGGAUUAGCUAGUUGGUGGGGUAACGGCUCACCUAGCCGACGAUCUCUAGCUGGUCUGAGAGGACGACCAGCCACACUGGGACUGAGACACGGUCCAGACUCCUACGGGAGGCAGCAGUGGGGAAUAUUGGACAAUGGGCGCAAGCCUGAUGCAGCCAUGCCGCGUGUAGGAAGAAGGCCUUCGGGUUGUAAAGUGCUUUCGUAGGGGAGGAAGCGAGUAUAGUUAAUACCUUGGGCCAUUGACGGUACCCGAAGAAUAAGCACCGGCUAACUCCGUG
rnacentral:rRNA from 1 species